AUUGAACGCUGGCGGCAGGCCUAACACAUGCAAGUCGAACGAGUGGCGGACGGGUGAGUAAUGUCUGGGAAACUGCCCGAUGGAGGGGGAUAACUACUGGAAACGGUAGCUAAUACCGCAUACCAUCGGAUGUGCCCAGAUGGGAUUAGCCAGUAGGUGGGGUAACGGCUCACCUAGGCGACGAUCCCUAGCUGGUCGGAGAGGAUGACCAGACACAGUGGAACUGAGACACGGUCCAGACUCCUACGGAAGGCAGCAGUGGAGAAUAUUGCGCAAUUGGGGCAAACCUAAUGCAGCCAUGCCGCUUGUAUGAAGAAGGGUUUCGGGUUGUAAAGUGCUUUCAGCGGGGAGGCGUUACUCACAGAAGAAGAACCGGCUAACUCCGUGCCAGCAGCCGCGGUAAUAC
rnacentral:rRNA from 1 species